UCCGAGUUGACCCCGGCAGUCUCCCACGAGUCCCCGCCAUCACGCGCUGGCAACGUAGGAUAAGGGUUGCGCUCGUUGCGGCACUUAAGCCAACACCUCACGGCACGAGCUGACGACAGCCAUGCAGCACCUGUGCUGGCCCCUUACGGAGCCCUGCUUUCACAGGGUUUAACCAGCAUGUCAAGCCCAGGUAAGGUUCUUCGCGUUGCAUCGAAUUAAGCCACAUGCUCCGCCGCUUGUGCGGGUCCCCGUCAAUUCCUUUGAGUUUUAGCCUUGCGGCCGUAGUCCCUAGGCGGAGUACUUAAUGCGUUAGCGACGGCACCGAGGGGGUCGAUACCCCCGACACCUAGUACUCAUCGUUUACGGCGUGGACUAC
rnacentral:misc_RNA from 1 species